rnacentral:rRNA from 1 species
GAUGAACGCUAGCUACAGGCUUAACACAUGCAAGUCGAGGGGAAACGACAUCGAAAGCUUGCUUUUGAUGGGCGCCGACCGGCGCACGGGUGAGUAACGCGUAUCCAACCUGCCCAUCACUUGGGAAUAACCUUGCGAAAGUAAGACUAAUACCCAAUGACAUCCCACGAAGACAUCUGAAUGGGAUUAAAGAUUUAUCGGUGAUGGAUGGGGAUGCGUCUGAUUAGCUUGUUGGCGGGGUAACGGCCCACCAAGGCAACGAUCAGUAGGGGUUCUGAGAGGAAGGUCCCCCACAUUGGAACUGAGACACGGUCCAAACUCCUACGGGAGGCAGCAGUGAGGAAUAUUGGUCAAUGGGCGAGAGCCUGAACCAGCCAAGUAGCGUGCAGGAUGACGGCCCUAUGGGUUGUAAACUGCUUUUAUAAGGGAAUAAAGUGGGUCUCGUGAGACUUUUUGCAUGUACCUGAUGAAUAAGGACCGGCUAAUUCCGUG